AUUGAACGCUGGCGGCAGGCCUAACACAUGCAAGUCGAACGAGCGGCGGACGGGGGAGUAAUGUAUGGGGACUGCCCGUUAGGGGGGGAUAACUACUGGAGACGGUAGAUAAUACCGCAUACUAUCGGAUAACCCAUAUGGGAGUAGAUAGUAGGUGAGGUAAUGGCUCACAUAGGCGACAAUCCCCAGCUGGUCUGAGAGGAUGAGCAGCCACACGGGGACUGAGACACGGCCCAGACUCCGACGGAGGCAGCAGUGGGGAAUAUUGCACAAUGGGCGCAAGCCUGAUGCAGCCAUGCCGCGUGUAUGAAGAAGGCCCUAGGGUUGUAAAGUACUUUCAGUGGGGAGGCGUUACCGACAGAAGAAGCACCGGCUAACUCCGUGCCAGCCGCCGCGGUAAUUC
rnacentral:rRNA from 1 species